rnacentral:rRNA from 1 species
ACUCCUACGGGAGGCAGCAGUGGGGAAUAUUGCACAAUGGGGAAACCCUGAUGCAGCCAUGCCGCGUGUGUGAAGAAGGCCUCGGUUGUAAGCACUUCAGUAGGGAGGAAGGUAGUGUAGUUAACACCUGCAUUAUUUGACGUUACCUACAGAAGAAGCACCGGCUAACUCCGUGCCAGCAGCCGCGGUAAUACGGAGGGUGCGAGCGUUAAUCGGAAUUACUGGGCGUAAAGCGCAUGCAGGCGGCCUGUUAAGUCAGAUGUGAAAGCCCGGGGGCUUAACCUCGGAAUUGCAUUUGAAACUGGCAGGCUAGAGUCUUGUAGAGGGGGUAGAAUUUCAGGUGUAGCGGUGAAAUGCGUAGAGAUCUGAAGGAAUACCAGUGGCGAAGGCGGCCCCCUGGACAAAGACUGACGCUCAGAUGCGAAAGCGUGGGGAGC